rnacentral:sRNA from 1 species
AAGAGAGACGAAUUUCAAGAACUAUCGAUGACAUUUAUGUUUGGUCAACCCUUGACCUUCACUUGUAGUUCGACGGAUGGGAACGAUCCUCGCUGCUGCUGAAGGGGGUCCAGGAACAUCGGUGUCAGGAACACCAAGUAACUAAACAACAAAAGUAAUACGUCUGGUUCAAUUAAGACCAAGUGUAGCCUACAUGUUACAACCGGAAGUCAUCGGGAGAAGACUCAGUGUGGCUCAGCAGAGGUAGCAAAGAAGGAUUUUACGAGUCCUGAGAAGAGGCUUCAUACAUAGAUGGAGACAGCUUGCUGCCCAAUACGCUGAAGGAGGAUCUAAGUAAGUACUUAAUAAUUGUUACAUAUAUACAACACAAUAGAUAACACGGAAACCCGUCAGGUGUGAGAAAUAAUCUUUAUUUGUAGGGUGAUUUCAUAAUGAGAGGCAUGAUCAGAGAAUAAAUAUUACAAGAACAACAAAAAGAAAAUAACAUUUUUUUCCCUCUAAGAUCUUGACAUGAAAUCAAAAUAUGGAAAAGAAAAACUAUUUUGAGCUAAACAGUCUGCAACUUUAAAUUAAUAUAGAAAUAAAAAGGGAUUAUCGUAAUGAUUAGUUUUCCAAAGUGAUGGAUAAGUCAUUUUACAAGGAUUAGGCAAGGGAAUUAACCCAUUUUUUUUCUAGACGUUAAAUAUAGCCGAGACAUGGUAGCUCAGUAGAAAAGUAUAUAAAACAAAAACAUAAAAGAAAAAUACAGUCACUUGAUGCUUUAGGUAUAUGAACAUAAAUAUAUAUAAUUUUUUUUCUUUUCAGGGAAUGAGCUAAAAGACGAAUUAGUUGAAGUACGUGGUUGGACGACAAUAACAGGAAACAAAAAAUUGACCGAGUGGCACGGUGUUACAAAAUAAUGGCGCAAGGUAGGUGAUAUGAUACGGGUCGUCUGCAUGUAGAUCUAGAUCUGAAGACGAUCCUAGAGAUCACUCAACUAUCUCUAAAUAUUACUUCACUCAAUGUUCAAGCUGUUGCUGCUUUAAGCCUUUCUGGUUAAAAUGUGCACGCACGUCUUAAAAACGCAUAGAUCUAAGUUUUAGAGUCUAGCCUAGUCACAGCCUAGAGUGACUUGUGGUAUAGCCUACUAAUACUAUACUGGUAUCGCUUGCCUUUUUAACUGCAUUCUUCUCGAAAUAAUCAAGAAACACUAACUAUAAUACUAUUUCAAUUCCAGACGAGCAUUCACUAUC